rnacentral:hammerhead_ribozyme from 1 species
AUCCAGCUGAGGAGUACCAAAUAGGACGAAACACAGUUUCUGGAU